rnacentral:rRNA from 1 species
CUCUGGGGAGACUGCCGGUGAUAAACCGGAGGAAGGCGGGGAUGACGUCAAGUCCUCAUGGCCCUUACAUCCCGGGCUACACACGUGCUACAAUGGCAGGUACAGAGGGCUGCGAAGCCGCGAGGUGGAGCCAAUCCAUAAAGACUGGCCUCAGUUCAGAUUGCAGGCUGCAACUCGCCUGCAUGAAGUUGGAGUUGCUAGUAACCGCGCGUCAGCUAUAGUGCGGUCGAAUACGUUCCCGGGCCUU